AUAGCCAUAGCAUGUUGAAACAUUGGUUCCUAUACGAUCACUGAAGUUAAGUAACGUUGAGCCUGGUCAGUACCUAGAUGGGUGACCACUUGGGAAUACCAGGUGCUGUAAG